GCCGGAGUGGUGAAACUGGUAGACGCAGGGGACUCAAAAUCCCCCGGAGCUUGCCUCCAUGUCGGUUCGAUUCCGACCUCCGGCACCA
rnacentral:tRNA from 1 species